UGAAAGCGUUUUUUUUGCACAUGUCUAUUUAAUGCAUUUCAGCGUAUUUGGUUUUAGCAUUUACGUAUUCAAGUUUAUAAUUAGCCUUAAGCUCCCGUAUAUAGCAGUUGAAUGCAUUUUUAGUAACCAUACUUUGCUCUGAUAGGUGUGUAGAAUAGUGCGAAAUUGAAGCUAUUGAAAGACGACAAUUCUUUUAGACUGGCUGACACAUAUUAUACACACCGUUAUUUUCAAUGUUCGGUUUAAAUAUUUUAUUUGGUCCAAGGCAGUAUUUCAACUUUUCGAUCUCAUUUUAGUAGUCAGUUUCAUAUUAAUCCAAAAUAGUCCUCUGUUUUGUUAAAAUGAAUUGCGGUGUAGAAACGGGGCGAGAUCUUCACACACAGUGUGAACAGAUUGCUCGGGAAAGAUGGAAAUCGAUAACCAAAUGCAAAAUAAGAAAGCAGAUUUGACAGGAUUAAAAUCAAUGACGCUUAAACAGCUACAGCUACCAUAACGGGACAUUGACCAAUUGGAGAACAUGGCUCUGCCCUAUAGUGACAUACAUACAUAUGUCGUUCCUGCAAACUAUACGGGUACAAGGGAACGGUCUUUCACUUUCUCUGUGAAUACCCAGCCCUAUCACAAAGCAGACAUAGAACACUUGUGAUCUAUCUAGCACCAAACCUUGAAUGGAUGUCCACAAAAAGUAUUACAGAAAUAAGCAGUUUCAUUGAAAGCACCAAAUGGUUUGACGAUAAAACGAGUAGUGCAUCAAAAUGGCGCUUCCCGUGUUAAUUGAGCUGAAACUGCACUCCUACCUACCUAUCUACAUUCACCUUCUUCUUGGUAUCGUUUUUCUUAAUAUUCGUGAUUCCAAUUAGUCCUUGAAAAUUAUAUAUGUAUAUAGUAAGCAUCCAAAAAUAUAUAUCAUAACCUGGCCAGUUGACUCUGUUUUCCACGCUUUGUAUUAGGUUUAUCUAUAUCAUUCAACCUGGAACACUGUAGACUCCGGGGUGAAAUAAUACUCAUAUGUUUUGUUCAUUCAUAUCGAUGAAAAAAUGUUGGUAGAAAGCCUUGCUCAGCGUCUUAUAUAUACAUAUGUAUGUAUAAGUUGUUUUUGUUGGUCGAUUAUUAACUCACUUUUUUCGCAGAGAUAAUAUUUAUGGAGUAUACUUCGAACGAAUUCAUUUGAGCUGAAGAUGAUUUGUUUCAGUUAUCUCAAUCAAUUUCAAGAUCACUUUGUGCAUAUUUUUGAUAAUUCUAUCAGUAACAACCGCCUUAGAGAGAGUUCGCAUACAUACAUAUGACUUAUAACUAAGCUUAUCGAUCAAAUCAGAGUUAGAUCGUCAUUUAACGUAUAACAUCUGGGUUAAUUCCGGAGACGUAGAAGCGAUUGUUGCGGGAAUUGGGCGUAUAUCGGUGUUCUUAUGGGCCGUCCGGGUUCAAAUUAUUGAAAUGUUGCUUCCUUUGGCAUGCAACACGGAUACCAAUGACUAAAGCUACUUCUUGGGGUUAACAGCAAAUAAUAAUAUUUUUUCGAAACAACAAAACAUCCGUUAACCCUAAUGAAAAAUAUACAUAUCUCAAGAGACAACUGCAUUUUUAUACUCUCGCAACAAAGUUGCUAAGAGAGUAUUAUAGUUUUGUUCACAUAACGGUUGUUUGUAACACCCAAAACUAAACGAGAUAUAUAUCAAAGUGAUCAGGGUGAAGAGUGGAGUUCAAAUCCGGAUGUUGGACCACUGCCACGCCCACAAAAUAUCGAAAACCGAAAACACAUAAAGUGCCAUAACUAAGCCAUAAAUAAAGCUAUGAAAAUAAAAUUUGGUACAAAGGAUCGCACUAUGAAGGGACAUAUUUGGAUGUAAUUUUUUUGGGAAAGUGGGCGUGGCCCCGCCCCUACUAAGUGUUUUGUACAUAUCUCGUAAACAACGAAACUUUCAGGAGUCGUUUUUUCAUGCAUUUUCUUAUACAGUCCAAAAAUGGAGGAAAUCGGAUUAUAACCACGCCCACCUCCCAUAAAAAAGUUGAAAACUACUAAAAAAGCUUGGAAAUCAGUAAGGGAAAACACCAGGAACCUUAAAUUUCUCUAUAAAGAAGGUACAGAAGGGCUCCACCCAAAUUGGUAUACAAAAUUUUAAGGUUCACAACUACGCCUACUUCGUAUAUACCAGAAUUUGAAGUCGGCUUGAAUAGUUUACUUUACAAUAUAUAAAUCAAGCACUAGUGAAGAUAUCGGAACAGAACUUUGCAGAAAUACUACAUUUAUAGUGUGGCAGCGCCUUUCUAAAAAUUGCCGAAAUCGAACCAUAAGUUUUCAAGGCCUCAUAUGUCGAGCAUGGGGACCUCGGUGCUUCUAAUCUAAUAUUAGGUUUUCCAACUUUCACUGGAUUUUAUACCAUAUAUAUGACGAAUAUGUGGGUCAAAUUGUGUGCUAUAUUAAUAAAGUUAAAUAAAUAAAUUGCGAGAGUAUAAAAUGUUCGGUCACAACCGAACUUAGCCCUUCCUUACUUGUGAAUGUUAAUAUUCUCCGAAAUUCCUAUAUUUUUUACAUGAUCUAAUUUGGUUUACUUUUAAAGUGGUUGCUAUAAUAUAAAAUCCUUUUCGGGCUGUCAAAAAUUUAGAUAUUUUAUCAAACAAUCUCUAAAACUAAAAUUAUUUAUUUCUGUACUCGUAUGUGAGAACUUUCGGUAAAGAACAAGUAUGUGCUAUGAGCAAUAAAUUAGCUUCUUCCAUAUUAUACUAAUGACUAAUCAGCGAAUAUUUAUUUCAUCAGCAUUAAAAAUAUAUUUAAUUAAAAUUGUUUUUAUUUUCGUAUAUAGUAUAUUAUAGCUUAUCUUUAAAGCUAAAACAUUUAUGUACAAGUAAUUCUUGAAUAAUUAAAAAUGCUAAUUGCGUAUUUAAAUGUCAGCUUUUGUUGAUAACAGCGUCUUUUAAUAAUACACGGAA